AGAACGAACGCUGGCGGCAUGCCUAACACAUGCAAGUCGAACGAGACCUUCGGGUCUAGUGGCGCACGGGUGCGUAACGCGUGGGAAUCUGCCCUUAGGUACGGAAUAACAGUGAGAAAUUACUGCUAAUACCGUAUGAUGUCUUCGGACCAAAGAUUUAUCGCCUAGGGAUGAGCCCGCGUUGGAUUAGCUAGUUGGUGGGGUAAAGGCCUACCAAGGCGACGAUCCAUAGCUGGUCUGAGAGGAUGAUCAGCCACACUGGGACUGAGACACGGCCCAGACUCCUACGGGAGGCAGCAGUGGGGAAUAUUGGACAAUGGGCGAAAGCCUGAUCCAGCAAUGCCGCGUGAGUGAAGAAGGCCUUAGGGUGUAAAGCUCUUUACCGGGAAGAUAAUGACUGUACCGGGAGAAUAAGCCCCGGCUAACUCCGUGCCAGCAGCCGC
rnacentral:rRNA from 1 species